rnacentral:rRNA from 1 species
AUGGAGCACGGACGAGAUGAGCAAGCAGAAGAGGUGUUGGGGGACAUAAUCUUAGCCGGAGGUGAUAUCUUGUCGUAUCUUAACGACAAUGAUGGUCUGGAAGAACAGGGUGAAGAAGCUGGCUGCGGUGAUCGAAGAGUGGAGGAGGAAAGACAUGAUUAUGAUGGCUCCGGUGACCCAAUGCUGGUGCAAGAAGGAGCCCGUGGUGACGGCUCCGGUGACCGAACAGAGUCCGGCCAGCCCUCCAGAUCGAGCACAACUGCGGUAAAGAGACGAGGCCCGAAGAGAAAGUUGCGCUCGGAUGAAAGGUUUGAGAUCACAGCAAUCGCGCGCGACGGCCAACCGAUUGAACCCCUCCGGACAAAGGAUGCUUUUGCUGCUCAGUGCGGGGUUCUAGUUAGGGACAAGAUCCCGAUCAGCAUCCACCAAUGGUAUAAGCCUAAGAAGGAAGACCCUGAGGUGUCUUAUGUCAAUGAUAUGCAGAAAGAUGAUCUUUGGACUGAGCUGAAGGGAAAUUUCACCCUACCGCCAGAGGAGGAUCCGGAGAAGCCAGUUAUAGAGCAAUUAAUCAAGUCUCAUGCUCUUAAGAAGAUGGCAGACCUAUUCAGGAGGUGGAAGAAUGAGCUGAAAAUGUUUGUCGACAAAGAAGAGACACCUAAAUUCAUCGACCGGUAUGAGAAGAUCAGAGAUCACUGGCCCGCAUUUGUGGCCCACAAGACAUCGGAAAAGAGUAUGAAGAUGUCAGCGACAAACAAGAUGAAUGCUGCGAAGAAGAAGCUUCACCAUCGCACGGGGUCAGGUGGCUACCUCAAAGCCCGGCCUAAGUGGGCCAAGUCUGAGAGGGAUCUGCUUGAUAAAGGGAUCGAACCACAGACAAUGAACUGGCCAGACCGUUGCCGGACUUGGUUCUUCGGGGCUGGCGGAACCUUGGACCCUGUAUCAGGGAGGUGUCGUUGGACGGACGAGCAACUUGCAAUACCCGUCAAGAAGAUUCAGCACUAUAUCGAUGCAGCGCAGCAAGGGACGUUCGUUCCAGACAGAGAGAACGACGAGCUCACAAUGGCCCUCGGGAAUCCUGAGCACCCUGGACGGACACGAGGCACGCCAGGCUCCGUUCCGUGGAAGGCUGGUUUUCCGGACGCGGGCGUUACAAAACCCAGGAGAGGAGGAAAAAAGUGGAGCAGAUCCAAAUUCAGCGUCUGCACGAAAGGGUUCAAGUGCUAG